rnacentral:rRNA from 1 species
AUAGAAUUGCCUCAGAAACUGUUUCGCUUGAGUCAGUGAGGGGAGGGCGGAAUUCCUGGUGUAGCGGUGAAAUGCGUAGAUAUCAGGAGGAAGGCCGGUAGCGAAGGCGGCCCUCUGGCACUGAACUGACGCUGAGGCGCGAAAGCGUGGGUAGCAAACAGGAUUAGAUACCCUGGUAGUCCACGCCCUAAACGGUGGGCAUUAGGUGUAGGGCUCGUAAGGGUUCUGUGCCGAAGGGAAACCAUUAAAUGCCCCGCCUGGGGAAUACGGCCGCAAGGUUGAAACUCAAAGGAAUUGACGGGGGCCCGCACAAGCGGUGGAGCAUGUGGUUUAAUUCGACGCUACGCGAAGAACCUUACCUGGGUUUGACAUGUUAGUAGUAAAAACCUGAAAAGGGGCUGACCCUGGGGUAACUCAGGGAGCUAACACAGGUGCUGCAUGGCUGUCGUCAGCUCGUGCCGUGAGGUGUUGGGUUAAGUCCCGCAACGAGCGCAACCCUUAUCCUCUGUUGGUCGUAAACGAUCUCUCUGGGGAAACUGCCGGCGAUGAGCUGGAGGAAGGUGGGGAUGACGUCAAGUCAGCAUGGCCCUUAUGUCCAGGGCGACACACGUGCUACAAUGGCUGCUACAGAGGGAUGCAAUACCGUGAGAUGGAGCCAAUCCUUAAAAGCAGUCUCAGUGGGGAUCGGAGUCUGCAAUUCGACUCCGUGAACGCGGAAUCGCUAGUAAUCAUGGAUCAGCCAUGCCAUGGUGCAUACGUUCCCGGGCCUUGUACACACCGCCCGUCACACCACGAAAGCCUGUUGUACCCGAAGCUGGGGAGUUAACC